GUCGCCUCACGCCUUGCGCCAUCCUCCCCCUUGCUCGUGCCUGCUCGCCGCCUUGUCCUCGCCGUCCUCGGUCGCGCCAGCGUCACCACCACCAUCGAUCCUCCCCGACGCCCUCUCCGUCCUCCUCGCCACCACCAUCACCGUCCUCCUCGCCGCCGCCAUCACCGUCCUUCCCCACAAGCGUGGACGCCGUCGAUCCUUCCCGCCUCCCCGUCAUCGGUCGCGCCAGCGACGCCACCGCCACCCCAGCGCCAACCGUCAUCGGUCGCGCCAGUGACACCACCGCCGCCCCACCGCCAUCGAUUCUUGCUGCCAUCCUCGCCGCCACCAUCGCCAUCCUCCCCCACCACCUCCCCGUCCUCGGUCGCGCCAGCGACGCCACCGCCGCCCCUCCGCCACCGCCAUCGAUUUUGUCUGCCAUCGUCGUCGCCGCCAUCGCCAUCCUCCCCCACUGCGCUGCUUUCGAUUCCCCUAACCGCCCCGCGUAGCCGCCGCCAUCGUUCCUCCCCGACGCCCUCGCCGUCCUCCUCGCCACAGCCAUCACUGUCCUCCACCAGCUCCCUCCCCUACUGCCGUCCUCGCCACCGCCAUCGCCAUCCUCCCUCACCAGCUUCGACGCCGUCCAUCCUCCCCGCCGCCCUCACUGUCCUCCUCCGCCAGCGCCAUCCUCCUCCACCGCGCCGCUAUCGAUCCAACAACGAACAGGUAACAAGCCUGCCACCAGGCCUUGGUUCUGGGGUUCGCCUCUGCCUUUCCAGUCUUCGCCGACACCGCCGGUGCCUCCAUCCACCGCCGCUGGAUUGGAACUGCGCUUGUGCGCCGCCUUCGUGCCACCUAUCUGGCUUACACACAUUAAGAUAUGGAUAACAAUAUUGGAGGCUCCACACCAACAUCGUUAAGAAGAUCAUGCCCUUUUGCUGAUAUUAAUAAUGCAAGUGCUGGGGAUUCACCAAAAAAACGUAACAAUAUUGGGGUCUUCACACCAACAUCGUUAACAAAAUCAACCCCAUUUGCCGAUAUUACUAAUGCGAGCGCGGGGGAAUCACGUAUAAACAAUGGCAGUGACAGAUGCACAUCCUCCAAUGUGCCGCAAAAAGAAAAUAUGCAAAAUCUGCAAGAAGAUGGUGCUAAACUCAGCGCAUUAGAAUUAAGAAGGAAGCGUGCUAGAGAGAGGUAUGCAUCAAUGAGCCCAAAGAAAAAGGAGGCGAGGAAAAUGAAGGCCCGUGUGUACAAGCAAUUGAAGGAAGACGAAUACUCAGGAAGUGAUCAACAACACAUGAUCACACCUCGGCGUCUACCAUUUACAGUGAUCAACAAUGUAGCUCAUUAUGAUAAUAUGGAUCAUACUGGAUCCCCUUUCAGCUGCAUACUUCAAGGAGCAACACAAAACAGCCAUACACUACCUGCAAAUACAGCAGUAAACAUUACUUUCUUGGUCUGCCUCUUCUCCUGUAUAUGCCUACAUCCACUCCUUCCCCGAGUAGUCCAGGAUGAAGCAGCCAGGUCCAGGAUGAAGCAAUUCACUGUUAUGAACAAAUUCAAGACGAAGGCCUUACUUGUAAGCUGA
rnacentral:lncRNA from 1 species